rnacentral:rRNA from 1 species
AGACCCGAAACCCGGUGAUCUAGCCAUGGGCAGGUUGAAGGUUGGGUAACACUAACUGGAGGACCGAACCGACUAAUGUUGAAAAAUUAGCGGAUGACCUGUGGCUGGGGGUGAAAGGCCAAUCAAACCGGGAGAUAGCUGGUUCUCCCCGAAAGCUAUUUAGGUAGCGCCUCGUGAAUUCAUCUCCGGGGGUAGAGCACUGUUUCGGCUAGGGGGCCAUCCCGGCUUACCAACCCG